CGGGUGAGUAACGCGUGAGGAACCUGCCUCGAAGAGGGGGACAACAGUUGGAAACGACUGCUAAUACCGCAUAAGCCCACGGCUCGGCAUCGAGCAGAGGGAAAAGGAGCAAUCCGCUUUGAGAUGGCCUCGCGUCCGAUUAGCUAGUUGGUGAGGUAACGGCCCACCAAGGCGACGAUCGGUAGCCGGACUGAGAGGUUGAACGGCCACAUUGGGACUGAGACACGGCCCAG
rnacentral:rRNA from 1 species